rnacentral:tRNA from 1 species
GCCGGAGUAGCUCAGUUGGUUAGAGCGCCAGAAGGAGAAACCAAAGGUUUCUCCUUUCUAAACCUCUUCCUUUGUGGAGGGGCUUUCGCAAAAAGAAAGUAAUGUUUUUCUUUGGCGGUGCCUAACUCAUAACCUGGAGGUCGGGUGUUCAAUUCUCCCCUCCGGCA